UAAGCUUGCUUACUUUGCUGGCGACCGGCGCACGGGUGAGUAACACGUAUCCAACCUACCCUUUACUCGGGGAUAGCCUUUCGAAAGAAAGAUUAAUACCCGAUAGCAUAAUGAUUCCGCAUGGUUUCAUUAUUAAAGGAUUCCGGUAAAGGAUGGGGAUGCGUUCCAUUAGGUUGUUGGUGGGGUAACGGCCCACCAAGCCUUCGAUGGAUAGGGGUUCUGAGAGGAAGGUCCCCCACAUUGGAACUGAGACACGGUCCAAACUCCUACGGGAGGCAGCAUG
rnacentral:rRNA from 1 species